rnacentral:rRNA from 1 species
UACAGAGACUGCAAGCGUUAUUCGGAUUCACUGGGCGUAAAGGGUGCGCAGGCGGUCGGGUGGGGCAGAUGUGAAAUCCCGAGGCUCAACCUCGGAACUGCGUCUGAAACUACUCGACUAGAGUACUGGAGAGGGUAACGGAAUUCACGGUGUAGCAGCGAAAUGCGUAGAUAUCGUGAGGAACACCAGAGGCGAAGGCGGUUACCUGGAUAGUUACUGACGCUCAGGCACGAAAGCAUGGGGAGCAAAAGGG